ACGCUAGAAGUGGGAAGAGCU
rnacentral:piRNA from 1 species